AUUUGGUUUUCGAAGUAUCCCUAUAAGCUGCUGGUAUGUCGGAAAGGCAGUUAAAGAUAAAGAUAGACAAAAAGUAAAGGAGGACUCUUCAUAAUAAUGAGAUGGAAGCUGAAAAUCUUGUGAGUACCUCAAAGUAAAUUUCAGCCUAACUUCUUGAUAAACUGCUUAUAUCUUAGAUAUAUUUAAGUACAUAUAUAAUCUGUUUGAUAAUUGAGAGCUGCAAUCAAAGUAAACGAUAAGUCGUGGCUGAUACAUAAGCCUAAUUAAGCC